CUGCCCCCAGCUGCUAUUUCCCGGCGCGCGGUUAUCGCAGAUCAACAUGGAGUCCUACCGGGUGUCGGACAAUCGCUGACCCUGUCAACUCAACAAGCGCCUCCACCCAAGAGUAAGCAAGCAAAGUGAAUUCAAGGAUCACAAUUCACAUUCAAUUCGGUGCUGCCAUUGUUAGCUGCAUAAUCCAUCGAUUAAUUGUUCAGAUAGAGUCAGAGUUGGUAUGUAUGGAUCCCACCAGGAAACUAGUUGUAAGCAGCAAGUGAUGACCUGUUAGUGAUUUUCAAUUUUGAGUUGUACUCAGUGAUAUUCAUUUCUGUAAUAGCACUAGUGGUUCGUUACUUUGGUGUACUAGUAAAUGCAUUGCUCUUGAUGCUCGAGUUAGUAUGUUCGUUGAUGCUAGUACAUUCGUUCACAUACAUCCCUAUUGCGAUUUCAAUGCUAGUACCAGCUUCAGUGCAUACAAUUUCUUGCUAUUUUUUCUCUAGAAGAUGUGUUCUGCUAGCUAACUGUUGUGGCGAGUGCCAGUACUGCUUGGUCGCGUUGUAGCUGGUUGACAUGUGGGGCCGGGACCAAAAGGUUUUGAAAACCCUGGCACCGCGUGGCCUUGCCAGUGGGUGCUGCGUAGUUCGUCACUUGCUUCCUGAUUCCUCAUGGGGUUGGCGUGUCUGGGAAACCCGAGUGAGGUAAUUAAAUGACAUACAUGUAUCCAAACCUUUGGUGGUCCUUAUCGUCGUCCUGGAGCGUCCCAGAGUUCGAUGACGCCGCAUGGUUCAUGCGCUUUCUGGGUGUGAGUGGGGCUGAUGGAUGGGCACAGUUCGUGCACGUGUUUUUUAUGGGAUCAAGGGGGGUUAUUUUUUUGUUCUACCAGAGCGACUAUUCCUACAGUUUUCAUGUCUUUUGUGACAAUGCUAUGUUUUGCACUUCCAAACCUAUCAGAUUCAUUUGUUAUUCGUAUUCCUAAUACCUUUGAUUCAUCUCAAGUCAUUUAUUGUCUAUUUGAAAUGAUGUAUUUCAUAAUAAAUUUCCAUGCAACUCGACCCAAAAGAUUUGUAGCAUAUCUCCAGCCCAAAAUAGGCGGCAUGAAUUUCAAACGAUUUAACUAAGGCUCGCAAAUGAAUCAAACUUCUAAUCUUGCCCCUCUAAAUCGUGGUGGAGAGUAAUUAUAGGCAAUCUAUGUGAGGAGACGAUUAAUGAUCUAGCUUUUACAUCCGAUGUGUUCUCUCUCGUCACAUCUCACACUGUUCCCUCUCUCAGUUCUACUAAAAAAAGGGCUAUAGCUAAUAUGGACAUUAAUAACGCACCACAUAUGUGAUGCACCACUGCUAUAUAGCAGUGGCGCACCAUGUGUAGGUACGCCACUACUAACAAAUUCUUUUUUUUUCAGAACUAGUGGCGCACCACACACCCUGUGCGCCACUACUAACAAAUUUUUAUUUUACCUUUUUUCAAAACUAGUAAUGGCGCACCGUGGUUGUGGUGCGCUAUUACUAGUUCAAACUAGUAAUGGCGCACCACAACCACGGUGCGCCACUACUAAUAAUUAUUUUUUUAUUUUUUUGCAAAACUAGUAAUGGCGCACCACGUAACAGGUGCGCCAUUAGUAACCAGGGUUACUAAUGGAGCAUUAUUAGGUGGUGCGCCAUUGGUAACCUGAGAGUGGCUAGAUAUUUUAGACAGCCACCUACCACACUCACUUUUCCCACUUCAUUCUCUCCACCUCCUCCUCCAAGCUUGUCUCGGCUGCCUCCUCCUCACCUCAUUUGCACCAUAGGUUCACCCAAAUUAAGUGGUUAAAUUUCCUUUUUUUGAUAGGUAACUAAGGGGAAAGCUUCUUUAUGUUGUAGAUCUACUUUUUUCUCCCUCCAACAACGUGCACAUGCACUUUUUAUGGCAUAGAUCUAUGUAUGUUUGUGGUGUUGCAUAUGUUUGUGGUGUUACAUAUGCUUGUGUUUGCAGGUACCGGUAUUUGAAAUGCGAUAGUUGCCAAUAUUUUGCCAGAAUGUUGAUUCAUUUCCGUUUCGGCGAGAAUUUGGCACUAUGCAUUCUUUUUGGUCCUAUUUUUAGGCAAAGUCAUGCCAAAAAAUUUCUUGGUUCUAAAAUAUCGUUUUGCUCUACCCCGCAGGCGACCAUGGUCCGCACGAUGACUGACGGCAUUGUGAAUAGGUUUUUGAGCUCCGCGAAGGCUGAGAUGCUUCAAAAGAACGAGACGGAGAUAAGAUGUCCGUGUCGAAGAUGCAAGCUGAAGAGCCUUAUGGUCCCGGAUUUCGUAUAGGUGCGGGACCACCUGCUCUUGCGUGGUUUCAUGGAUGGCUAUCGGUGGCAAGGUGAUGAAGAUGAUUACGAAGUCGUCCAUGGCGGCCGGGUAAGAAAUGAGGAAGGGCAGCAAGACAACCGCGGCGAGGGCGGGGGAGAAGACGAAGAAUCUCCAGGACAUGAUCAUGAAGUAGAUGCAGUACACAGUCAUCAUGUAGAAGAUGUCGGACAUGAUGAUAAGGAAGAUAUGCCAGAGCAGACGAAGGGCAUGAUCAUGAAGAUGAAGAUGUUGGAGCAGACGACGAUGGACCAUCGAUGGGCUGGGUGCAGGACCCUCAUAUUCAAGAGCUGCUUCUCAAGCAGACAGAUAACGCAAGAGCUGCCGCCCGAGAGAAAGCCAACCUGGACCAACUGGAGAUAGACGCGGUUACUCCAUUGUAUGAAGGAUGCAGACCCGAGGAUGCCCGCCUGAAAGUAACGCUCAUGGCUCUGGAGAUGAAGGUAAAACACAAAAUGACCGACGCAUGCUUCGACGAGAACAUGUCAUUCUGGCACGAACGUCUUCCCAAGGGGAACAAGUGCCCGACCAGUUUCGAGGAGGCGAAGAAAAUCAUGUGUCCUUUGGAUUUACCGCACGUGAAAUACCAUGUGUGCAUGAACGAUUGCAUCAUUUAUCGGGACGAGCACGCGGAGUCUACCAUAUGUCCGAUGUGCGACGUCACUCGAUACAAAAAGAGGAAGAAAGCUCCUCGAAAAGUGGUGUGGUACUUUCCGAUCACUCCUUGUCUGCAGCGGUAUUUCGCGGACCCUAAGGUAGCAAAGCUCCUACGUUGGCACGCGGAUAGGGAGGAGAAGAAGCGAGAAGAUGACGGAAAUGAUCCGGAGAUAAAUAAAAAAGACAAGAUGCUGAGUCACCCUAAGGAUGUGAGCCAGUGGCAAGCGUUGAACUUCGAACACCCAAAAUUUGGGGACGAUCCAAGGAACAUCGUGCUGGGCGCGAGCACCGAUGGAGUCAAUUGUUUGGCAGCCAGAGAAGCACAUAUAGCACCUGGCAUGUGUUUGUGUGGAUGUACAACCUCCCCCCUGGUUGUGCAUGAAGAGGAAGUACAUUCACAUGAGUAUGCUAAUUGAAGGGCCAAAACAAUCAGGGAACGACAUCAAUCUGUAUCUGGGGCUGCUGAAAGAGGAGCUAGACACACUGUGGAAAAUGCCAGCCCAUACGUGGGACGCUGCAGAGAAAGAAUAUUUCCCUAUGAGAGCCGCACUGCUCACAACGGUGCACGACUAUCUCGGUUACGGAUAUGUCGCAGGGCAGGUGGUUCACGGAUUUUCUGGAUGCGUCAGGUGCAUGGAUGACACAACGUAUCGCCAGCUAGAAAGAGAUCCCAGGUCUUCGAAAAUCGUGUUCAUGGGACAUCGAAGGUGGCUUCGCGACGAGGACUCGUGGAGAAAACGCAAGGAUCUGUUCGAUGAUGAAAUCGAACCCCGAAGACGCCCGCGUACGAGGAGCGGCGAGGAAAUAGACGAGCUGUUGAAAAAUUGAAAAGAGUGCCCGGAGCCGGGAAAGAAGCGAAAGGCGCGAGAGCCACUGCUGAAGAUAUGGAAAACGAGGUCUGUUUUCUGGGACUUGCCGUACUGGAAGAUCCUCCGUGUGCCUCAUAGCCUUGAUGUCAUGCAUAUCACGAAGAACAUGUGCGGGAGUCUGCUUAGUACCCUGCUCAACAUGCCAGAGAGGACCAAAGAUGGGCCGAAAGCAAGGGCAUACUUGAAAUCAAUGGGCAUCAGGGAGGAGCUUCAAGCUAAAAAUGACGACUAUGAGGCGAAGGACACGAAAAGUCGUCGCAAAGGCAAAAAGGCCAAGAAGAUCGGAAAUGACUUCCCUCCCGCGUGCUUCACUCUAAGUCAGGAGAAGAUCGAGCAGUUUUUCACCUGCGUCGUAGGAGUAAAACUUCCUUACGGUUACGCGAGGAAGAUAAGCAGACACCUAGACUCAGCGAAGCAGAAGUUCAGCGGGAUGAAGUCUCACGACUGUCACGUGCUGAUGAUGCAGAUACUUCCAGUUGCAAUCCAUGGGAUCAUGGACGCGCACGUCCGUGAAAUGCUUUUUGGCCUAUGCAACUUUUUUGACGUCAUCUCUCGGAAGUCGAUUGGUGUGAGGCAACUCAGAAGGCUACAUGAAGAGAUCAUGGUGAUACUAUGCGAGCUUGAGAUGUACUUACCGCCCGCAUUCUUCGAUGUUAUGGUGCAUCUGCUGGUCCAUAUCGUGGAGGAUAUCAUCCAACUCGGGCCGACGUUCCUGCACAUCAUGAUGCCCUUCGAAAGGAUGAAUGGUGUCAUCAAAGGAUACAUUUGCAACAUGUCACGUCCAGAGGGAAGUAUAGCCAGGGGCUUUCUGACCUAAGAGUGCAUCUCCUACUGCACGAAUUAUCUAGGCAUCGAGAACCCCGUUGGUCUCCGCGUCAACAGGCACCUCGGCAGGCUCGCUGGAUGGGGUCACCGCGAGGGUCCUACUGCACGAACGAUACAAGUUCCCCGGUGACGUCGCAAACACACGCCUCUCAGGGAAUAAAGUGAACGGUGCCGCCCUUACGAAGAUGAGCACGGCCCUGGCUACUUGGAGAGCUGCGGUGAGGAGAAGAAUUCUAAGAGGUGAAGUUAUGAGAAGAUCAAGGAGACAAAUCCUUUGAUCAUCAAAGAUGACUACAAGGAGUUCAAGAUCAAGUGCGAGAGCAACGUAACCGUGGAAUCAAGUCAGUGGGGGAAAGAUAUGCGGGACUUGAACUUAGGGGUCCACAAACUCGGUCCCGGCGGUUACAGAGUGGAGGAACCUAUAUGGGACAAGGAGGACGCAGAGCGUGCCGAGCAAGGCCUACCGCCCCUCUUCGAUAAAUACCGUGGCAAGCAGACCAGGAACUAUGUCAGGGCCCGGUACAAGGUGGACCCGGUAACAAAGGAGCUUACCACGGAUCCGAAGACCAAGGCGCUUGACCUUGUUCUGGUAAGGAAUACACCCCCGCGUAAUUAGCUCCAUAUGGUUGCAUUCUAAUUAAUGAAGCCAAAUUUCUAAACGGUUCACGUUCCUUCCGCAGGACACUGAAAGCAGUAGCGCGGGGGCGUCUCAGAGCUCCCCUUGGGACAUCACUUUAAAUAGGGCGUUGAACGUAAUGAAAAACAAGGAUAAGUUCAGUAAGCCGUCGUCAGCUGGUCGUGUGGCCGGCAAAGGCUUGUCCGUGAAAUGGUCGGAAUACUAUAACGUUGGUGGGCGAAAGGAGAGAAAGACCAACUCGGAAAGCCAGGAGCGCGAGGUUCAAGAACUCAAGGCACAAGUGGCACGGAUUCCGGAGAUGGUCCAAGAGCAAGUGCGAGACCAACUGGGAGCGACGAUCACCACCAUUGUGCCUACCUUGAUUGAGGGGCUGCAGGCAUGGAUUGCGGGUGGCCAACAGGGGCCGCCCCCGAUUCCCAGCUUCACGGCUAGCAACUCGCACAACGCGCCGACGACGCCAUUGGUGUCUCCGGCGGAGGCGGUAUUGGUGUCUCCGGCGCCGGCGCGGGCAUUGGAGCUUAAUGCACCCGGGUGCGGGAAGAAUACGUCGGCCGGCACCUCGGCAGCAAGUGGCCCCUCCGUCACUUACACGCCCGCCGUUGGCGGUGCCUCGACAUUAGCCGAGCUCGACGCCAUCACGGUAACUAAGCCUCUCGGCCGAUGACUUCAUCUCCUUGCCUUUGACUGGGCAUCCCUAACGCCCUACAUGUUAUCACAGGGCGUCGCCGACGUUACAUGCACUCUCCUACACUUCAUGGGCGGCGAGUUGAUCGAUGUCGCCAAGGGCAGAAUCGUUCAACCGGGCAACCCCGUGUUCCACGGUAAUCUGAUGCCACCCACCGUGUAUAGGGUUCAACUGGUUCGGGUGCUGCCGGGCUACGACGACUUGUUACCUCCGUUUCGACCCGCUCGGGCCGACGAAGAUGAUGUGAUGACCCUCAGCGCCUGCUUAAGUUGGCCCCUGCUUUGGCCAAAGAGCCAGAUUCAUUUGGGGGCGGGGGACACCACCCCACAGACAACACCGCUAGUCGUGCCGGCGCCAAGCCAUGGCAAGACCGCCACAACGCUACCAGACAUGCCGGACAUGCAUAUGGCACAGGAUCUGGACAUGCAUAUGGCACAGGAUCCGGACGACGACGGUACAUUUCCCAACGUCGAUAAGUACUUCAACGAACAUGAGUACGGUGAUGAAUUCUUGGGGCCUCCUUCUCAAGAACCCAACCCUGCAAAAGACGACCGCGAUCUAGCUGGUACCGCGAAGAAACCCAAUUGCAACAGGCGUCGUCUGGCGUUCAGUUCUCAGGAGACGCCUCCAACUGCCGCCUUCACCGAGCCUCAGAUAGCCGAGAUGCGAAAUAUUAUCAGCCCCAACACACUCAAUAAGGCGGUCUCUGAGUAGAACUCGAUCCCAUUACAGCAGAAGAAGAAGGGACGGAAAAGAAGGAAUAACAAGGGUGCGAGCCAGCCGGCACCGAGUACGAUCCGUGCUUAGGACGGGCCACCUUCACCUAAAGAUAUCUCGAGGAGGGUGCAUGUGGCGGGUAGGCCAAUGCUACCGACUAAUCUGCUCAAUGCUGCAACCGGUGCUAUGCGGAGUCUGCAUGACAGUGUUCUUUCUUUGGAGAAGCGGCGUCUCUUCGAGAAUGAUGUGGCGUACCCGAUUUUCAUGGCCAAGGUGUCAGAGGGCAAUGGCUUUGUCGAUAGCACCAUCGGGGGUAUGAUCGUCCUGCGGUUUGAUGACAUCUUUGCUAUGUUUAACCUUCAUCCGCUGCACUACACCUUCAUUCGGCUAUUUUCGCUGAGUAUGGAGAUGCGGGUCAUUAGAGACUAGACCCCAGACAUCGUGAUAGUCGACCCCUUCUAUAUGCGUGCCAAGAUCUUGGGCAGUGCUAGGGACCGGCAAGUCGCGAGUUCUUACCUCGAAGGCGUCAUUCUGGCAAACCUAGAUAAGGAUAACUUCCUUGUGCCUUACUUUCCCGAGUAAGUCAUCCCCUCACCGCCCCAUAACAUAUGAUUUCUUAGAUUUCGAUCGUUCUUUUUUUCUAACAUUCCGUGUUUUGUGCCGAGGCGCACAUUGCACACUCAUCCUCUUAAGCCUAAAAUAUUCCAUGGCCACGUAUUUCGACUCGGAUCGUCAGUUGAAGAAAGACUACACAAAUAUCAAGAAAGUUCUUGAUGAAGCUCUCCCCGGCUACGCCAGAUCUGGAGGCACCUUCAGCAGGCCAAUUCGUAGGUACAGCAAGCACGUGUUCACCCACAAAUACGACGUUCCCCUGCAUCAAGCAGCCGCCUGGCGGUCAGAAGGAUGCCUACUACGCCCUCCAUCACAUGCGGGCGAUCGUACGGGACCAUAAUCACCUUCUGCUACCAAAUAAUCUCAAAGAUUGGACCGCAUGCUUGUCGGCAAUCCAGGACGUGGACAUCAGACAAGAAUUCUUUCGCAUCCAGUCGGAGUUUGCGAAAAUCAUCCAUCAAGAUGUCCUUCGUACCUCGGGGCAGUUCUACCUCAGAUAUCAACCGUCCAACAGUGAGAUAGAAACAAUGCUACAAAUGCAGGCUAACAACGACCGCGAUUUCAUGACCAUCAUGAUAGACGGAGGCUUCAUCCACGCUCCGGUCCCUGAGUCGAGUCGAAAAUAGUGAUGCUAUGUAGUUCUAAAAUAUUGAUUAGUUCAUGUUGUAAUUAAACUUUAAUGAACUUGUAUGUCUCUUUAGUUUUGACAGUCGUUCAACUUAUAUGUAAUUGAUGCUAUUUAUUAGUAGGACCAUGAAUCAUGCUAUUAAUGUGUUGCUUUUCUCUUCCGAUCCUUUUGUUGCAUACUUAUAUAUUGCUUAUGUAUUAUCUGUGAAUUGCUACUAACGUUUUGUUUGUCUAGUGCAUAAAGAUGCCGUCGUAUGUCGUGUACAAGGGUAAGAUUUCCGGAGUCUACGAUGACUGGGAGGAGUGUCGGAGACAGGUUCACCGUUUCAGCGGUAACAGUUACAAAGGGUACACCACUAGGAUGGAGGCGGAAGCUAGAUACGCGCGCUAUCUAGCAGGAGAGAGGAGGAAGCGUUGGAGGAAUCGGAUGAAGACCAGUUUUAUCGUGAUGAUGCUCAUCGUGAUGAUCGCAACUCUCUUCUAUGUGAUGGUAGUUUAGAUGAUCGAUAUCGACUUAUAAUGUGAAGACAAUUUCGCUACUCGCGGUCUCGAGACUUGUAAUGUUCUAACUUUGUUCGGUAUUUGAAUUCGGAGACUAAUAUGAUGAAUUGUAUUCAGAGACUAAUCUUCUGUUGUAUUCGAUAAAUCUGUUGUUUAUAUGUUGUGCUGUCUAUAUUCUGUGCAGUAAUAUAUUUUGUAACAUGUGCAAAUAUUAGAAAAGAAAAAAAUCCUAAUAUUCAUACUAGUGGCGCAUCAUACUGCACUUUAGUGACGCACUGUAAUAAACACACUAGUGGCGCAUUAACUAGAAGUGCGCCAUUAGUAACCCAGAGCACAAGGUAAAUAUGGCCCCCUGGGAGGCAUAGUAAUGGCGCACCAUUUGACAUACUAAUGGCGCACUUUCAGGUGCGCCGCUAUUGUCUAGUAUACUAGUGGCGCACCAGGGGUGCACCUAGUGGCGUGAUGAUAGUGACGCACCUGUAGUGCGCCAUUAAUGGCCAAAACAGGUGCGCCACUAAUUAGCCUUUUCCUAGUAGUGAGACACAUUAGUCCCGGUUUGAUUUUGGCCCAGUACCUCUAUCCGGAUUUAUUAGCCCCCCUUGUAUUUUGGAUUCAACUUUGACUUUCUUAUGACUAGAAAAUACAAAGUAUAUUUUAUAAAAAGCAUAUUGUUAGAUUUGUAUUUGAAAGAGAUUUUUCAUGAUAUAUUUCGUGUGACAUAUAAGUUAAAUUUUAUUAGUUAAAACUCAUGGUCAAACUUUGACCAAAAAUAAAAGGGAGCCUAAUAAACCCCGGACAGAGAGAGUACAAUGGUGGCUUGCCUGCGCCAAUCCAUGGGAGGUGGAUAAAGGUGAGUUUGAAUCCAUGAGAGAAGAGAAAUGACAUUUUACUAAUAUUUGAAGAAAUGUUGAAUGUCAUUUUACUAAUAUUUAACAGAUUUAAUGACACCAUAAUUGUGAUGAUUCCGAAUGUAAACUCACUGGAGUUACUGUCACAAUUCCGACCUAUAAGCUUGUGUAAUGUAUUGUAUAAAAUUGUGGCGAAGGCACUGGCCAACCGCCUCAAAGUGGCGCUGCCUUUUAUGAUCUCGGAGGAGCAAAGUGCCUUCGUUCCCGGAAGGUUGAUAACGGACAAUAUUUUGGUGGCAUAUGAAUGUGUGCACGCCAUUAGGACACACAAGAGGAGGAAACCAUUAUGUGCGGUAAAGCUAGAUAUGAUGAAGGCGUAUGAUAGGGUAGAACAAGAUUUCCUUAAGCAAAUGUUGAUGAAGUUUGGCUUCUCUAGUCACUGGACGGAGAUGGUCAUGAGGUGUGUUAAAACAACAAAAUUCUCUGGAAAGAUGAAUGGAGGACUCUCCAACAGUUCUGUCCCUUCAAGAGGGCUUCGGCAGGGAGACCCCCCUAUCCCCAUAUCUUUUUCUUUUUUGUGUGGAGGGUUUUCGGCGCUGCUAAGGAAUGCACAAAGGGAAAGGGAAAUAAAGGGAGUAUUGUUUGGGAGCAACGGCCCCACUGUUACUCAUCUUCUCUUUGCAGAUGAUAGCGUGGUGUUUCUAGAGGGAAUUCAACAAAACUUUGCUUCACUCCGAACCAUUCUCCAGGACUAUGAGGUUGCCUCGGGUCAGAAAGUUAACUUGCAGAAUUCAUCAAUAUUUUUUUGGUAAGGGGAGCACGGAGGAGAGUAAAGAGGACCUCAAACGGGUGAUUGGGAUAGCUUCUGAGGCCUUAAGUGAGAGAUACUUGGGGCUCCCUACGGUGGUGGGGAGAUCCAAGGACGGGACUUUCAAAUAUGUCAGUGAGAGUGCACGUGGGAAGGUGGCAGGAUGGAGGGGCCAAGGGCUCUCCAAGACAGCAAGGGAGGUACUUGUCAAGUCUGGGCUCCAAUCUACGCCAACUUUUACUAUGAGCUGCUUUCAACUCACCAAGAAAAUGUGCAGGAACCUUUCUUCUAUCUCUUCGAACUUCUAGUGAGCUAUUUUUUUCCUUUCACGAGAGUUACAGUUUUACUUCCGCGAGAGGCAUGGUUGUGCUUUCGCGAGAAGCAUGGCCGUGCCUCCUCGGAAACGAAAAAAACGUGUUUUUUCUUUUUUUUCCUUCCACGAGAGUCACAGUUUUGCUUCUGCGAGAGGCACGGUUGUGAUUUCGUGAAAGGUACGGGCGUGCUUCUUUCAGAAAGGAAAAAAACCCGUGUUUCUGGUUCGAUUUUUGCGUCCGUUUUUUUCGUGAAAAAAAGGUUCGUCAAAACUUAUCAACAUGAGAUCUAGUUUUGAAGAUCUCGACGUGAGAAAUCCAACGGUGAAAGCGGUUCGAAAUUUGGACGCAUGGUUUAAAAGAUAAAACAUUUUGAAUAAACGGAUCUACGGAAAAGGGAAAACUCCCAGGUUGCGACAACUGGCGCACAUGCAGCGCGCCACUUGUCGCAACGGGGAAAGGUUGGAGUGAUCUUUACAAUGAGUAUUCCUUGACUAGUAAUUUUGGUUAAUAUUGCUAGCGGGUCCUUAAGCGCGGAACAUGAGCUCCCCGUGGCUCAUGUUGCCUUUUUUUUUGAGUGGUUCUUUUUUUUUGAGCAUCAUUUUUUUUGAGUGGUUGGCUCUUGCCUAACGCGAAAAAUAGUCGCGCCCCUUUUUGUAGCAUCUUUUCUAAUCGGAUGCGCCUAUAGGCCUUGUUUAUGUGUCAACGGCCCAAAUUCUAAAAAAAAAUGUCAAGGGCCCAAGGACAACAAGUAGAUCCACAAAGGAAACCCCCUCAAAAAAAUCGAGACGCCGAGGAAACCCUCGCGCGCCUCCGCCGCCGACCAUGGCGGGCGCUCUCGCAAUCGCCGCCGCCGCCGGUUCUUACGAUCGCGAUUGGGCGGGGCUGCCGGAGGAAAUACUCCUGAUGUUCAUGCGGGAGCUGGAGAUCCCCGACCUCGUCCGCUCAGGUGCUGUCUGCGCCUCGUGGCAUGCUGUUUACCUAGCCGUCCGCCGCCAUCGCUUCCCCCUUCCGAUCCCCCGGAAUCAGCUGCCCUGCCUGCUCUACGCAUGCCGCGAUUCCGCCGCAGACGGCGCCGUCGUCCGCUGCCCCUUCACCGGUGAUUCCGUCCGAGUCCCCCUUCCGCUGCCCCCGCUCACCCGCCAUUCCACGGUCGGCUCCGCGCACGGCUGGCUCGUCACCGCCGACGAGGCCUCGAACCUCCACCUUCUCAAUCCCAUCACGGGCGCCCACGCCGCGCUCCCGCCCAUCUCCACUCUCCACCACGUCGAGAGCUGCGCCGACGCCGAAGGCCGCCUCAUGUACAACGUCUUCGACAGGGGCGAUCCCGAGCCGACGCCCUUGGACGCGCGCGAGGCCAGGGACUGCAUGUACCACCGUGUCACGCUCUCCUGCAGCCCGUCAGCUGGGAGCGCUUGCAUCGUGCUGCUGGUGCACAUGCCGGUCGGCGAGCUCUCUUAUGCCCGGCUCGGCGACAAGCGGUGGACGUGGAUCUCCCCCGACGACCACCAGCUCAUGAGCAUCAGCUGGGGCUUCAUGGACUCUUUCUACAACGAGGAUGAUGGUUUGUUCUAUGUGCUUCGCAGCCACAGGUCCGUCUUCACCCUGAAUUUCAAUGGGCCAUCCCUUGUUGUCAAAAAGAUCAUGCGAAGAGUUAGGAAGGGAGAUGAUCCUUCUAGCAUGUACAUCCUGCAAGCUCCAUGGGGUGAUAUUUUGCAAAUAUGGAGGUGGAGGAGCUACACUGACUCGUCAACACCUGUGGAGCUUCCUAGAGAUCUGCUGGGUCACAACGAAGAUGAGAUAGACCGGUAUAUUGAGCUGAGAACAACUGAAAUAAGGUCUAUAAGGUUGACCUUGAGAACCAGGCACUUGGGAAGUUGACAAGCUUAGCGAAUCAUGCACUAUUCCUUGGUUAUAAUAGCACCAUGUGUUUCGCCACGAAAGAUUUCCCAGCACUGAAGCCGAACUGUGUCUAUAUCACAGAUGACCCUCUUGAGUAUGUCAACAUGUGUAAGCAUAACUGGCGACAAAAGCGGAGUUUGGGAUAUAGAAAACAAGAGCCUGCAGACUUUUGAUAGUGAUUUGCUUACUAAUUCCUGGAUGAACUGGCCUUCUCCGGUUUGGAUAACACCCUCCCUUUUCUAGUAAGUGACUUUUUAUUAGUGAUGCCAUUGUAGACCUUGCAGGCUUGCACACUUGUUCUUGACUUUGAUUACUGUCAAUUUUGUUGUUGUAUUACAGCUUAAUAAUUUGAGUUGUUGUCCCACAAUUAUAUCAAUUCUCUCUAUAUAUUAAGUUAUGAACUUUUCACUAUGUGUCACUGCAUAAUUUUUGGCUUGAUUAUUGUCAUUUUUUUGUUGUAUUAUAGAUUAAUAAUUUGAGUUUUCCCCCCACAAUUAAAUCAAUUUCUCUAUAUAUUAGUUCCUAUGUAUUAGUGGAUAACAAUUUUGGGUUCUGUUAACACCAUUCCAUUAAUCUCUUGUUAGAGCCACGUAGUUUAUAUAAAGACCAGUCUAAUUCGCAUUUGGCAGCAUUGUGAAUGGCAAUAACUUCCUAUCCGUGUUUGGCACCAAAGUGAAGGAUAAUAAUGACAACUUUCAUGUGAUUUAACAGAACUCUACUGACAUAAGGUUUACACACUAGUAUUAAGAGCUCAAAACUUUUAUGCAGUGCUAUGUAGGAAAUAACCUGUUUUUCAACGGUAAUAUUCUUACUAUUUGAACUAGUCAUCAACCCGUGCAGGUGGAUGUGUUAAAAUUUUCAGUAAUACAUUAACUGUAAAGGAGGUUUAUUUUAACACAAGGGCGUGCUUUUUAAAAUUAUUACAGCUAAAAACUAUUACCGCCACUUCCUAUUAUGUCCAAGUUGUGGUCCUUGCCAAUUUCUUCGCACCAAGUAAAUCGAUCUGUUGUAUGCUUUGGUCCUCAGCAGUAAAUGGAGUUUCUUCCUUGCCAUGAAUGGUGUGGUUUGCAAUCUUAAAAAUGAUUCAAAAAUCCUGCUGAAUAGCUUAUUAUGGAAGAAUACAGAUCUUGGUAUUUUCAUUAAAGAAAAAUAACAAAAUGGCAGCACAGAUCAGCAUCAUGGUGUCAAAAGCUUUUUUUUUAUAAAGGAUACAUACAACAGUAGAAUCCAGAGGAGAUGACACCAAGCAUGCUCCUCUUUCUGAAGCAAACUUCUUGUCUAUGUACACAAUGGUAGCAUGGAAUGGGCAUUGGUAGUGCAAUGCUUCCAAGGCUUUCUACUGAGCCAUAUAUUUAUGCAGUAUGUACAAACCAAAGUAUAUAAUAUAUGCUAAGCUUGUGGCUAGAAUUGCAUAACUAAUCACUACAUAUAAUUGCAUAGAAACUCCAUCACAAUAGACGUGAAAGCAAUACAGAGACUAACAUUACUUGUUACUGCUGGGGAGUGGGGAUAGUACUCAUCUUUCUCCGCUGGAUGCACCAUCCGAGUAAAAAUAGACACCAUUACAUUUUUCUCUACACAUUAUGCAAUGGAACAGGGGUAAUAGAAGAAAGGGUCCCAUCAAAACCUUAUUAAAUUAUUGAGUCUAGCAUGUUUCUCUCUGUUUUAAUUACACCAUGGAACACAUGAAGCAAUUUAUCUUGGGAGAAGGGAGUACUCCUGCAAGGCAUAGUAUGUAUAUAUUAUAAGGAAAACACAGUAAAAUUCCAAUUGAAGUAGCACCCAGACCUUUUUAGUAUUUUACAUUUAGGGCAAAGCAAACAUGAAUAUCGUAUUUCUAAUAUUUGGAAUCACAUCAACGCAAUAAGCUACAUAAAUAAACAUGGAUAUUUUUAUCUUUAUUGAUUAACCUUGAAAAUCUGUAUGGAUUCAGUGUUUACUAAAUAGAACAAAAUCUUAAAAUGAUUUGUACAGUUAGUGAUUAUCCUUGGUAGAAGUUCUGCACUAUCGUUGUAAAAGGCAAUCUCACUAAAUAUAGCAGUAUCUUCUGUGUAUAAACCUAACAGCAUGCUCUUAACGGCUUGAACUUUUGCAUGAUAAAGCACAAAUGCUCCAGAAAGAUUGGCCAAUUAGAUCUCCCUGAUCGUUUAGAAUCAUAUAUAUAGUCACUUGCUUGAGUCAUGUGGAACACCAUGGCUCUCCCUGUUCUCAAAUAUCAGAUCAUCAUAAUGAAGCAAUGAUAACAUACCUGAAACAAAAGAUGAUGGUCUAUGAACAAUCAAAUAAGGUUCCCCACACAGUUUAACAUCUAUACCUAUUAUACUGAACUUCCUUGAUCAUUGUGGAAAGCGGUGAUCAAUGAUCUCAAGUACCAAUUAAUUAAUCAUAUGAAUCAAUGAUCACACACCUGAAACAAAAGGCAAAAAUUAGAUAUUAGCUUGUAAUCCGUGAGCGCUCCUAUUGGCAGAAAACUGAAGUGCUCCACCUCAAAGCCGACCUUCCAUUUCAUUUCAGGUACUCAACUAGCAGAGAAAGGCGCACAAAAUUGAAAAUUCUAAUUACAAAUGGAUUUUUUCAGCUCUGUUAAACAACAAUCUAGAGCUCAAGUAUGUAUGCAUUGGACCCUAAAGACUUGAAGCCAUUGAAUAGCUGCUGCGAUGCUCAGAUUUCUGUUUUUGGUUCUAAGCUUCAGAAGAAGAUGCGAGACUCUAAUAUUUUUGUUGUGGGAUCUGGUGCUCUUGGAUGUGAAUUCUUGAAGAACUUUGCUUUAAUGGGGCUUUCUUGUGGCUGUAAAGCAUUUACAUUAUGGAAGAUAGAAAACAUAUAUGGGCAAAUAUGGGCUAACUAUAACAGAUGAUAAUGUCAUUGAGAAAAGCAACUUGAGCCGGCAAUUCUGUUUCGUGAUUGGAGCACUGGACAGGCAAAAUCUACAGUAUCCGCUACAGCUGCUAGUGCUAUCAACUCCAGCUUCCAUAUUGAUGCUUUGCAGAAUCGUGCCUGUCCAGAGACUUGUUUUCAAUGAUGCAUUCUGGGAGGGCCUUGAUGCUGUCAUCAAUGCACUUGAUAAUGUAAAUGCCAGGAUGUACAUGGACAUGGGAUGCCUGUACUUCCAGAAACCACUCUUGGAAUCUUGAACGCUGGGUCCAGAAACAGAUGGUGAUUCGUGACCUUACUGAAAACUAUGGAGCUUCACGAGAUCCUCCUGAGAAACAGGCACCAAUGUGCACAGUUCAUUAUUUUCCGCACAAUAUUGAGCAUUGUCUAACGUGGGCUCGCUCAGAAUUUGAGGGUCUCUGCUAGAGAAAACUCCAAAUGAAGUGAACUCAUUUAUGUAUAAUCCUGCUGAAUAUGCUGCUGCUAUGAGAAAGGCAGGUGAUGCUCAAGCCAGGGCAUUGUUGGAGCGUGUACGUGAAUGCCUUGACAAGGAGCGAUGCGAUAGAAGACUGCAUAGCCUGGGCAAGACUGAAGUACGAUAUAUAUCUCUACUACAUGCCCCUUUGAAUUCAACAAUUUGUUAUUGGCUUUCUUCCGCCUUCUUUUCAUCUUAGCUAUUUGAAGUUAAAAACUUUGAUUAUAUUGCCAACAAAUAGGGCAGUAUCUUUUGUGCUCCAGAUGCCAUGUAAUAACAUUUGUUUUCUUUUGCCAGGUUUGAAGAUUACUUCUCUAAUCGUGUGAAGCAGCUAACAUUCACGUUUCCUCAAGAUGCUGCCACUAGCACUGGUGCUCCUUUCUGGUCUGCCCUUAAGCGUUUCCCUUGCCCGGUGCAAUUCUCAGCUGUCGAUUCAUCUCACAUUCAAUUUAUACUGUCUGCUUCCAUAUUGAGAACGGUGUCUUUUGGGAUCCCCAUACCGGACUGGGUGAAUAAUGGAUAAUCCGGCUGAUAUAGUAAAUAAGGUUGCAGUGCGUGAAUUUGAGCCAAAGAGUGGGGUUAAGAUUGAAACAUAUGAGAAGGCUACUAACCUCCAGUGCCUCAGUUGAUGAUGCUGCUGUUAUCUAAGACCUUUUAACUACCUUCAGGAUUCCAAAUGAAGUCUAUUGAGUUUUAGAAGGUUGGCCUCAUUUUAACUACUUCUGAUGUGUUAGAAUAAGACUUUUUUUCUUUGCCCUGGUUAUUUACAAAAAUCCUUACCCGUUUCACACUGAAAGCAAACAUGCAUAACUAAUGCAUAGGUGUAUAUUUGGAAGAAAGAACAUGAACAUGGACUAUGUGAUUCAGUAACAUUUCUUUCUGCUAUGCAUUGAGUUAUACUCCCUCCGUUCCUAAAUAUAAGUCUUUUUAGAGAUUCAAUAUGAACUACAUACGGAUUUAUGUAGACGUAUUUUAGAGUGUAGAUUCACUCAUUUUGCUUCGAAUGUAGUCCAUAUUGGAAUCUCUAAAAAGACUUAUAUUUAGGAAUGGAGGAAGUAGAACUUAGUUGCUAGUAUCUAUUGUCUCCCUUGUUGCUAGUAAUAAUCUACUCUCCACUUCUGCCCAGAUACAUUGAGGAUAAGUAACUUCGCAGUUCUUCGAGAACGAGUUUUUUUUUGGUAUGCUCCUCUCCACCUAACCUUCCAUGUUGGUUUAUAGGUGACGAGUGUGCAAAGAAUUCCUGUGGAGAGAUGUUUGAAAUAUGCCUCGUGAUUCUUUAUAUGGUGUUAGCGGCCAUCUCCAUAGCGUUUUGUGUGUGUCCUUCCGCUCUGUUGUUGCAUAGCGUUUUUUGGGCUACGCAAAAACGUUUUUGACCAUGUUGGAGUUUUUGGGCAGCUAUUGGAGAGGUUUUUUGGCCUCCAGAAGCCUAAAAAGGCAGGGUUGCCUUAUUGUUGGAGAUGCUCUUAUGAGCAUGGUUACCAUAUCCAGUUUUGUAUGGCAUGCACGGUUUUAGGUUGUCAAUUCGACUACCGAAACACGUCCUGCACGUCAUUAAAAAUAUAUCCUUAGUUUCGCUGUCGAAUGAAGCUUUAAAGUAUUUUUUCUGUUUUUAUAUGAUCAUUCAACAUGAAGGUAUAUAUAUCAGCAUUUCAUGGUAUGCACUUUUUUCCCUAGGAGGAAGGUACACUGAAACAUUAGUUAAAAACGGUGAUCCAUACAAUGGACUAGAGGGAAAAUUCAUAGAGAAAUGGAGCGUACACACACGGAAGUCCACAUAAAACGGCAAAAACACACCGUUUCAUAAAUAAUCCCAAAAAAGACAUNNNNNNNNNNNNNNNNNNNNNNNNNNNNNNNNNNNNNNNNNNNNNNNNNNNNNNNNNNNNNNNNNNNNNNNNNNNNNNNNNNNNNNNNNNNNNNNNNNNNNNNNNNNNNNNNNNNNNNNNNNNNNNNNNNNNNNNNNNNNNNNNNNNNNNNNNNNNNNNNNNNNNNNNNNNNNNNNNNNNNNNNNNNNNNNNNNNNNNNNNNNNNNNNNNNNNNNNNNNNNNNNNNNNNNNNNNNNNNNNNNNNNNNNNNNNNNNNNNNNNNNNNNNNNNNNNNNNNNNNNNNNNNNNNNNNNNNNNNNNCACGCUUUUAACGCCGCAGGCAAAUCCACCCUCGUCCUCGUCGUAUCUCAGAUCUCGUCCUCACUGCAUCACAACAUACCCCUCUCAUUGCCGCCGUGGCCAGAUCUAGAGCGGCUGCAAAAGCGGCGAUUGUGGGCGCGAUAUCACCCUCGGCCAUGGUGAACUCGGCGGAGUCGCCGCCCGCGGCUUUCCCAUCGGAUCUCACCAAGGAAGGCGGCAUUACGGAGGCGGGGGGUGGGGCCACGGAGGUAGUUACAACGUCGUCGAGCGCCCACCGCGGGAGGUUGAUGUCGCUACCAUCAAUUCUCAAGCCCUGGGGGAGCCAACGGCUGCUGCGGUGUGUUCAUGUCAACCGCCAUGGCGCAGCCAUCACCCCGGACACGGGAUCGUCCUCUUAUCAGCAAUAUGAGGUCAGCGAGAGGCUACAGCUUGGCCUCGGCAAGGUGGCAGAGGCGCCGGGCGCCGACAACCCCGCAAUCGACAAGUACCCUGAGGUCACGGAGGCGAUUUCUCCAGAGCCGUUGAAGGCACGCCGUGGCCGCCCGCGUCGCCUUGCUAUGCCAUCCCUCGCGGCCACGACUGUCGCGAGUGCGUCGCCGCAGGCAUUCGAGCGCGAGCGGCGGUUGAUCCGCGCAGAUGCGCUCAAGAGGCCACGAUUCUCCGUAUCACUCUCCGCAGAGGAGAUUGAGGAAGACAUCUACGGCCUCACCGGCACACUCCCGCAUAGCCGCCCUCGCGGUCGGCCCCGCAAAGUGCAAAAGCAGAUCGAUGUGAGUUCCCGUGCCUCCUCUGCUCCCUCCCCCGACCCCCUUACAUUCCAGCCCCUGCCGCUCCUCCCUAGGUACCCGUUUUUAAUUCCAUAAACGCUCCUGCCCCCAGCUGCUAUUUCCCGGCGCGCGGUUAUCGCAGAUCAACAUGGAGUCCUACCGGGUGUCGGACAAUCGCUGACCCUGUCAACUCAACAAGCGCCUCCACCCAAGAGUAAGCAAGCAAAGUGAAUUCAAGGAUCACAAUUCACAUUCAAUUCGGUGCUGCCAUUGUUAGCUGCAUAAUCCAUCGAUUAAUUGUUCAGAUAGAGUCAGAGUUGGUAUGUAUGGAUCCCACCAGGAAACUAGUUGUAAGCAGCAAGUGAUGACCUGUUAGUGAUUUUUAAUUUUGAGUUGUACUCAGUGAUAUUCAUUUCUGUAAUAGCACUAGUGGUGGUUCGUUGCUUUGAUAUCAUCAGCAAUUGGAAGGACGUAAUGUGGUGUACUA
rnacentral:lncRNA from 1 species